UUCUGCCACCGAAUACAUUAGCAUGGGAUAAUGGAAUAGGACCCUGUCCUCCUAUUUUCAGUUGGUUUUGGCAGCGCGAGGACUAGGGUAAUGAUUAAUAGGGAUAGUUGGGGGCAUUAAUAUUUAAUUGUCAGAGGUGAAAUUCUUGGAUUUAUGAAAGAUUAACUUCUGCGAAAGCAUCUGCCAAGGAUGUUUUCAUUAAUCAAGAACGAAAGUUAGGGGAUCGAAGACGAUCAGAUACCGUCGUAGUCUUAACCAUAAACGAUGCCGACCAGCGAUUAGGAGACGUUGAAUACAAAACACCACCAUCGGCGCGGUCGUCCUUGGCGUCUCGGUCCUUCACGGGGCCGGGGCGCGGGGGCGGCUUAGCCCGGUGGCACCGGUGAAUGACUCCC
rnacentral:rRNA from 1 species